GACGAACGCUGGCGGCGUGCUUAACACAUGCAAGUCGAACGGAAAGGCCCUUCGGGGUACUCGAGUGGCGAACGGGUGAGUAACACGUGGGUGAUCUGCCCUGCACUUUGGGAUAAGCCUGGGAAACUGGGUCUAAUACCGAAUAGGACCACGCGCUUCAUGGUGUGUGGUGGAAAGCUUUUGCGGUGUGGGAUGGGCCCGCGGCCUAUCAGCUUGUUGGUGGGGUAAUGGCCUACCAAGGCGACGACGGGUAGCCGGCCUGAGAGGGUGACCGGCCACACUGGGACUGAGAUACGGCCCAGACUCCUACGGGAGGCAGCAGUGGGGAAUAUUGCACAAUGGGCGCAAGCCUGAUGCAGCGACGCCGCGUGGGGGAUGACGGCCUUCGGGUUGUAAACCUCUUUCACCAGGGACGAAGCGUAAGUGACGGUACCUGGAGAAGAAGCACCGGCCAACUACGUG
rnacentral:rRNA from 1 species